CCUACGGGAGGCAGCAGUAGGGAAUUUUCCGCAAUGGGCGAAAGCCUGACGGAGCAAUACCGCGUGAGGGAUGACUGCCUAUGGGUUGUAAACCUCUUUUUUCAGGGAGGAAUAAAUGACGUGUACCUGAAGAAUAAGCAUCGGCUAACUCCGCGCCAGCAGCCGCGGUAAGACGGAGGAUGCAAGUGUUAUCCGGAAUCACUGGGCGUAAAGCGUCUGUAGGUGGCUCAAUAAGUCAACUGUUAAAUCUUGAAGCUCAACUUCAAAAUCGCAGUCGAAACUAUUGAACUAGAGUAUAGUAGAGGUAAAGGGAAUUUCCAGUGGAGCGGUGAAAUGCGUAGAGAUUGGAAAGAACACCAAUGGCGAAGGCACUUUACUGGGCUAUUACUGACACUCAGAGACGAAAGCUAGGGUAGCAAAUGGGAUUAGAUACCCCAGUAGUCCUAGCCGUAAACAAUGGAUACUAGGUGUUGAACAGAUCGACCUGUGCAGUACUAAAGCUAACGCGUUAAGUAUCCGCCUGGGAAGUAUGCACGCAGAGUAGAACACGAAAGAAGUAGACGCGUGAGAGACGACGACGACGACGACGAGGGAGGAGG
rnacentral:rRNA from 1 species